UAUUAGAAGGUAUUUUUAGUACCUCUGGCAGAACGGAUCAAACUCGGCUUUCAGCUCUGCUAAUGGAACCCUGUGGACUGUGCUGGCAUCGCCUCAUAUUCGUACUGAGGUAGCAGCUGAGCAAAGUUUACUAAAUAGUUGUGUUUACUUCACACAAGACAAAAAAAAAAACAAGUAGAGAAAAACACCAGAGGGGUUCCUGACGUACAGCAGGCUGGGGUUUUUGUGCUAGGAGCGUGGCUUGGGCUGGUAGACGCUCCGUUUGCUGAAGAAACAGCAGCACACAGCAAGGGCAAAACACGCCGAACGUUGCCGCCCGAGUUUGUGAUGACUUUGUUUUUGCACAGGGAUAAAUAUAACCACGACCAUUUCAUACAGCAAAACACUCUGUGAUGAGUGCAUGAGUACAGUAUAAGUGGCCUUACUGAUUACAGGAGCUAUAAACACGGGCUGGAAACCCUUGUUCCCCUCUGCAAGUCGGAAGCCAUGGCAGCGGAGGGAGGUUUUACAGCUAAAUCAUUAAAAGCCGUGGCAGAGUGCUUUUUCUGGAGGGCUCCGAGUGUGAAGCUGGUGCUCUGCCACCCGACCAGCCAUGCCAAGGCGGUGGGAAGCAUGCCACCACCAUUACACACUCGGAAGAGGGGAAGGCUGAGCUAACUACCAUAUUCUUACCGUGUAGGCUGGUUAAAAAAAAAAAAAAAAGUAACAUGUAACGAUUCCUGCCUUAUUGCAGUGUUUGGCUUUCAGAUAUAGCCCUGCAUGGGAAGGCAGGUAUGACGUUGGAGAGAGCCAAAUGAGCAUUUCCUGCUUUUAAGUCAUGUAAUGUCAGGAAUCUGGCCUGCUGGAAACACCCUGCUCAUCACACCCAGCAAUGCCACCUCCCUCGGGCCUGGCGAGCACCGAUCCACAGCUCAGGUCCUUUGUGUGCUGAUUUUCGGCAGCACGAACCCGAGCUCUGUGUGCCUCCCGCAUGGGAAGCGGCUUAGCUCCCCCAGAAACUCAGGGACUUGCCAGAGGCCUUAGAUAAGUAGGCAAGAUUUGUUUUAGCCGCCCUCAGCAUGCAAGGUAUUUCCUACUAUAAGAACAAGGAAACAUUGAGGACGCUUCAGCUGCCAUAUUUGUUUAUCUUAGGUCAAACCGGGGAGAUUUUCCAGAACCGCUGCUGCAGCUGUGCUUUGAGAGGCUGCCCUUCCAGCGAGUGCUUCUCUGCUGACACCAUGAUGACAAAAAAGCCUCGCUCAGAUCUUCGCCGAGCUCCAGGGGCAAGGGCGCAGGCAGCUGCUGAGCAAAGCUGCGCGGAUGCCUCCGGACACUCCCCGGGUAUGCCUCAUUCACCUUGACCUCGGCUGGGUCAGCACGGGGGAAGCCAGGAGGGAGAAGAAAAUCACCGGCGCUUGCUCCCUCCAAUUUCUGAGCAGGAAAUUACCGCAGGCGGACGUGGAGAUGGGUUUCACGUUGAGAUUCCCCGAGCCUGCGAAUCCUAAGUGCCCUAAGAGGGCAACCCCACAAAAGGUGGAGGCAGGUGCUCAGCUGCUGGGGGCUACAGGAAUGACCCGGCGGGGUUUUCACACCUCCUGCCUGCUCCUUGCAGUGUCCUUCAACCCACCACCCGCGUUUGCUGGAAAGGCAAGGGGAAAAGGAGAAAACAACCUCACGGCACCGUAAAACGGGAAAAUUCGGCCCAAUUCAUCCUAACAAGGGAAAAGCAGACCCUAGAGCUGACCGUUUUCACAGCAGAUGGUUUCACAGCACACAUGAGGUCCUGGCUGGAUGACGCCGAGCGGGCGAGCAGGGAAGGGCCCCACAGGCCAAAAUGUUCCGACCCGGGCUCUGAUCCUGGAAUCUGAUUCAUACGAGUGCAGCCCGGUGCCUCCCAGCUGCUCUACUUAAUGGUGCAGAUCGGAUUACAGCCUCCCGGGUGCCUAAAUUUAGCCCCCCAAAUCCAUACAUCGAUUAGUUUGACAUCCUCAAGUGCCACGCACCCAUUUCAGUAGGAAUUACAAACGCUGGUUCGAUCCAAAGGCUUGGUUUGAAGGCCUUGGCACGCUCCUCGAUGCCCUCAGGGGCUCAGGCUGACAAGGGCAACACGAAACCCGGUGCCCCAACCCUGUGAGACACAGAUCACCUCUGCGCCGCUGUGGGAUGAUUUGUUUUGAGCUGUAACAGCUCCUGGCACACCGUGCCAGCAGGGAACUGGCCGCACGCUUGCUGCGUGCUGACUGCUCUCUCUGCUGGCCAACUGAAAAAUUUUAUUUCCACGAGACAGGCCUGCAGAAAUGCAUCAACCGAGAAAAUGCAUGUCAGAAAAAUAGAGCUUUUUUUUUUCCCCUAAAGUCCCAAACAGGCACAUAAAAGAGGUUGAAUUGAAUAAAUGAUAUUCUUAACAAAAAGGAAGCAGCAGAGGAGAAAGAGGCAGGACAGACAUGGGUCUUCUGUCCCAUCCCAGCUCACUGCAUCCAUAGUUUGGUGGAAGCGAGAGGACCGACCCAUGGGACAGGGUGACCCCAGCGUGGAUGUCAGGCCGUCAAGGCCUUGCCCUAACAUUUUCAGUAGCAAACGUUGUAGUGUUGGGUUACUGGAGAAUUUCCAGUGACCACCAGCACAGAGAAGCCAGGAGAGAGUGGGACUGUGAGGAACUUUUUUCUGUUUGUUCAAUGCCUAAUUCAAGGGUGACCGAGUCCAAAAAGCCACCACACGGGGACUCUCAGCACAUAAAUACUGUAAUAGGAAUGGACUACAGAAAGUCAGGACUUCUCUGUGGGAAAGGACAAGCUAAAGACCUUGAUCCUGAAAUUAGACCAAACGUGGCAAAUUCUCCUAUCUGAGCCUCACUAAAGGGAGCGUGCCAUGGAUUUCAGCCACCAGGAACCAGCUCAGUAGUUUAAUCAAGGAGCAAACUCAUGUCUGGAGGGAUGACAACCUGAUGUUCUACAGCUCAAUGGCUCUGUUGAGUGACGCCCAGGUGCUGGGUUUAUGUGGCGAGGUUUUGGUAGUGGGGGGAGCUGCAAGGGUGGCCUCUGUUUACAACAGAGCAACACGUUUAUGGUGGGAUGUCAACCUCUGAUCUGAUUUAUUAAA